UACAGAGGGUGCAAGCGUUGUUCGGAAUUACUGGGCGUAAAGCGCGUGUAGGCGGCGCGGUAAGUCCUGUGUGAAAGCCCCCGGGCUCAACCCGGGAAGUGCGCAGGAUACUGCAGUGCUUGAGUGACGGAGGAGGAUAGGCCGGAAUACCCGGUGUAGAGGUGAAAUUCGUGAGAUAUCGGGUGGAAACACCGUGUGGCGAGGCGGCCAAUCUGGACGUCAACUGACGCUGAGACGGCGAAAAGCGUUGGGUACGCAAACGAGG
rnacentral:rRNA from 1 species